CACGUAGGCGGAUUCUUAAGUCAGGGGUGAAAUCCCGGAGCUCAACUCCGGAACUGCCUUUGAUACUGAGAGUCUCGAGUCCGGGGGGAGGUGAGUGGAACUCCGAGUGUAGAGGUGAAAUUCGUAGAUAUUCGGAAGAACACCAGUGGCGAAGGCGGCUCACUGGCCCGGUACUGACGCUGAGGUGCGAAAGCGUGGGGAGCAAACA
rnacentral:rRNA from 1 species